UUUACUAGCUGCACCAGCAGGGGGACACAGGAGUUGACAGGAUGUCCACUGCACUACUCAGCGUCAUGCUCAUCUGUAGGAGACAACAAGGAAAUGGACUGUAGCCCGGUUUCAGCUAAACCAGCUCCUGACCCUGGACUGGGUUCAUCCUUGUCAUCUGCAGGUAAGUCUGCUGUACAGUUUGCUAACUGAGUGUAACCGGCGGUGAGUUAUUUGUGUUACGUUAACCCACGUUACAUAACAAGCUCACAUUAGUUCAUGUCGAGAGAUUGUAUGGAUUUCACAAUAAUUGGUCAUUCACUCUACAACUGGAAUUAAAGUUGCAAGCAGUGUUGGAUGGGGGGAGGUCGGGAGACAUUCCUCUCAAUUAUCAUGCGUUUCAAAACGGUCAUGAGUUAAUCGUGACUUCCUGUGUCCCCAGUGUGACACUAGUGAACACCUGCUAAUUAUAUGUUGUGUACCAGUACGUUAAGUGUGGAUGACUUUGUGAAAAUGCCAUACAUCAAAUUGUUUUUGUCACAAAGGGCUUACUUCCUGUUGCCAGCAUGUGAUGCUUCAGGGUGUGACCCCUAUCAAACAUUUGAAAUUUGGUAGCAAUAUGAUUAUGUGCAUUGAAGUAACAAAAACUUCCUGUUUGAUGGCAAAUAAUCGAAAAAUUUAGUAGUAGUAUCUAAUCAGUUGUUACUAGUAAAACGGGAAUAGUUACUAGUAGCUAAUGGAAUAGUUACUAGUAACUAAUAAAUAAGUACUAGUAGAUUACAAAUAGCAACUCGUAAGUUUAAAGGAAUAAAUGUUAAAAUGGCUUGCCAUAGUUCUACCAUAUAUUACUGAGCCUUUUCCCUUCUGUGUCCCUCAGCAGCACCGUGGCCUCAUUCUGUCCAAGCUGAUACUGCACUCUACAUAGUAUUGUAUUUACUAUUGAAUACUUUAUCACUGUAUGCGUCUGAAAAUUGUUUUUGUAGAAUACAGUCUUGUAUUAGGUUGCUACUAAAGUUGUACCGUAUGCAUUAAUUUAUGUUCAAAUUAUGUUACACCUUCUUGUCAGAGCUGUUACAAAAAGUUGAAAAUCUACGGAAGCCCUAAGCAGCCAUCCAUUCAAAUAUUUUUGUACUCCGUAUUCACGUGAUAACGAGAUUAUUAUGUCGAUUUCUCGAGAUAGCAAGUGUUGUUUUCUUGUGAUAACGGGAUAACUAUUUUGAGAUCUCGAGAUACUUCAGUAAAAAGCUGUAUUCUAUAAAGACCACUCAGGAAUACUGCAUUUCAAUUACAAUAUAUUUUGAUGUGAAAUAAUCACAUACUUUGAUGUGAAAUUUAAAUACAAAAAUACAAUCGGUACAACCAGUUUCAAAACAUCAGUUCCUACAAGUAACUCACCACAGGUAACACUCAGUUAGCAAACUGCACAGCAGACCAGAUGAGCAUGACCCUGGGUAGUGCAGUGAAUGUUGCUGUCUCCCCCUGCUGGUGCAGCUAGUAAACUGCUCUCAAACUCAAACAAAACAGAUAUCUUUUUACAGAUCUUAGUGGAAGACACUGGACAAGAUUCCAUAGAUGUGUGAAAAGGAACUAACAACUGUUACCUGACAUGCAAAUUAACAGGAAGCAAUCUGCAAAUGUGUAAAAACUGGCACAGGGUUAACACUGCUAAUACAAAGUUAGAAACGUGUAGAAAACCGGCACUGCACAGCAGACUCUCACAGCAGACAGCAGAACUAGAAAUGACCAGAUACUGAGUCUUGAGCGCUCAGAUCAAUAUGAGAUCAACAUGAUCUUUGUGCUGGUUGAAACCAUGCAAAAGUCAUUCUUCUACAGUUGUUCUACAGAUGAGGAUGACAGUAGGUAACUUUUAGUUUAGUGGAAAAUCCAACUCAUGAGAGAGGUCAUGUUGCUGCUGACACCUGCUGGUGUAGCUUUUAAACUCCCUCAUACUUAAAGAUAUCUUUUUACAGAUUUCAGCCCUACACAUUGGAUAAAAUUCCACAAAUGCAUAAAAGGGAAGUCACAAAUGCAACGUUAACAGGAAGUGAUCCAUAAAUGUGAAAAAAAUGUUUUGUAUGUAGAAAUGGAUCCACAAAUGCCUACCACUUUGUAUGUGAAAUUUAAAAAAAGUAAGAGUAUAUUGUGCAUAUUUGCAAAUCACACUGUAUUUUUGUGGAUAUGAUUUUACACAAAUCCAUGUUUGUGGGUAGUGUGAGAUUUGUCUACAGAUUUCCACAGGAAACAUUGGACAAAAUUCCACAAUGUGUAAAAGGAAAGUCACAAAUGUGCAAAAACUGUUAAUGGGUACAAAUCACUUUUUUGUGGACAGGAUUUUACACAACACAAUUGUAAAAAUACGUAUUUGUGGAUCAUAGUACACAUUUGUGGAUUGUCUUCUGGGGGUUACAAAUAAUAAAUUCCAAUAAAAUCAUCCAUACCAAAGCUAUUUAGUGAAUCAGAUGAGUGUAUACCUGAAUUUGUUCCACUCAUGCAAACUUAAGUUGUCACAAACCAGUUGUGACCCCUGUCCAGUGACAGCUGGUGUUUUUAGAGCUGUUGGGCAGGGUCUCUGGGUCCCUGGGCUGGUGCUCCCACACAGUAGGCUAAUCUUCAUUCGCGCAGCUUCCCUGCAUUACUGACAAUCACCAACUUUACUUAAGAUCAGGCCAGCUUUCCAGUCCCCGCCCGAUCAUUGUUUCAUUUGAGUAUGCUCAUGCGUCAUCCACCUUGUCUGUCAUUUCAAAACCUGCUAGUUCCAAUAUCUGUUCUGAUUGACUGUUGUCUUGUUGAACACAGGUAAAUGUACAUAUUCUUAACAGGUCACAUUUGAAAGGAUUUUAACACCAAACACCCAAUAGUCAUUCCAAAAAAAAAAGAAAUGUCGCUUGAAAUAUACUAGUCAACAUUUAAGAACUAAUCCUUCUCUUUUCAAAAUAGAAUUAGGCUUUUAGGUCAACCCUAACCCUAGUCUGGAUCUAUGGCAGUCUGUACAAUACAGUACUAUUGUACAUUGUCUAAAAUUGUUGCUAUAGUCUUUCAAAGUAAAAAAUAACUUAACUAAACUGUGGGCUUCACACACAUUGUCAUCUCAUCAAUAAAACCAUCUGUUAUCUGUAAUUCAAAGAAAGCAGACAGACUCAGUCCAGUGCACAUAAAUGGAUUAAGUGCACAUCCCUUUCACUGCAUGUUACAUUGUGAAAAUGUCUAAGUUAACAGAGAGAUUGUUUCCUAUUCCAGCACCCCCCACCCCCCACCCCCAGUGAUAAGCAAAAUGUUUAUGGUUCUAAAGGUAUAACGAUUUCUUCAUCAGUACUUAUAAAAAUCACCAAAAGACAACUUUUAAUAUGAUUGAUUUUUUUAAUGUUCAUCUGAAAAAAAUACCAGAUAUAAUGAUUAAUUGCUUUAUGUUUUUUUUUUUGUUUUUCCAUUUGCCAGAAAGCUAUAUUUACUAAAAAAAGAAGAAGAAAGAAACAACAACUAUUUACUGUACAAAUUAAAAUGGUUCUCAGUUUUUUUCCAAAAGGGAGAACAUGGAGGUUUAUGCAGGAGACACAGAGGAGACCUCUGUCUUUGAUGUGGAUACUUCAGAGCCAUCAUCUGCUUCUUUGCCAAAGAGCUGCAUGAUGCAUGAUCGGAACUAUAAGACAUAGAUGACUGGGUUCCAGAUGGUGGCGCUCUUGGCAAAGUAUGCAGGCAUGGAAGCAGCCAGAGGAUGGAAGGCAUACCCAGGAUUAGCCGCAGCAAAGCAGGCGAAAAAGGUGUAAGGUCCCCAGCAGAAACAAUAUGCAAAGAUCAUGAUAACAACCAUCCUGGAAACUUCUCUCUCAGCUUUCUGUGUUGACUCUGAUUCCUUCUGCUGCAUGGCAACCUGCGGUCGACAAUCCAACACAGUGUGAGAUUCUGCCAGACUGUGGUCUAUACCAGGCUAUAUAAAGUACAGAACUGCAGGUAAGAUAACUUACAGCACGGAUAGCCAUCCAGACUG